rnacentral:lncRNA from 1 species
CGGCCGCGGACACCGAGGCAGGCGCGAGCCAUGGAGGGCAACCGCGACGAGGCGGAGAAAUGCGUGCAGAUCGCUCGCGAGGCCCUGAGCGCCGGCAACCGCGACAAGGCCCAGCGCUUCCUGCAGAAGGCCGAGAAGCUGUACCCGCUGCCGGCCGCGCGCGCAUUAUUGGAAAUAAUUAUGAAAAACGGAAGCACUGCUGGAAAUAGCACGCAUUGCCGAAAACCGCCAGGGAGCAGCGACCAGAGCAAGCCCAGCUUCGGGAAGGAUGGCACUUCCGGUGCUGGUGAAGGCGGGAAAGUCUACACCAAAGACCAAGUCGAAGGCGUGCUCAGGUAGGCGUGAAUGCAAGUGUGCGGCUCCAGCAUCCUUGAUUGUGAUAGGGCCCAAUCGACAUUCUAAUGCCUAAAAAAGGGUAUUUAAAGCGCAGUUUAAUUGCAGCUGUGUUCUCAAUUUUCUGACCAAGGACGCUUUCUCCCCUUUCCAUGAGGCUCUCUUGUUUACAGACACCUGGUGCCCCUGUGCUGCUCCCUCAGUGACUCUCUGUCACAGGAGCCUCUCUCUCCACGCACUCCUGCAUGAGGCAGUCAGUGGAUCUGAGGAGCAAGGAGCUUGGCUUUAGAAAAUUGGCUUACUGACGUCUCUCUUUUUUUUAAACAAGAGUUUUCUUGAAAGAAAAAAAGGCUAAACUCUUAGGAAUGAACUGCUUCCAAAUAGAUUGUUAUGUUUCCUGAUGGAAGGUAAGGGAAGUGUGCUCUUCUGGGCAACUGACGUUUGCACAUGAUAGAAUCUGAAGACAUCUGACUUCUCAAGAGCUCUCAGCGAGAGUGGAUUGAACUAUCACAAGCGAAGAACCAAAUAAUGCAGCAGAGGUGGCCUUUGUCCCUUGUCCCGUGUCUCUUCCUUUCCUAUCUUUUCCCUCUGUUUUCCCC